rnacentral:rRNA from 1 species
GCCAGGGAACUACGAGCUAAAGCUUAAAACCCAAAGGANUUGACGGNGCCCCNCAUCCAUUUANAGGAGCCUGUCCUACAACCGACACCCCCCGUUUUNCCUCACCNCUUUUAGCUUAUCAGCCUGUAUACUUCCGUCGUCAGCUUACCGCAUGAGCGAGAUCAGUAAGCCUAAUAUCACCCUNUAACACGUCAGGUCAAAGUGCAGCAAAUAAAAUGGCAAAAGAUGGGNUACNCUUUNUAACCUAGAAAACACGAAAGACUAUGUGAAACCAUAAUCAGAAGGUGGAUUUAGCAGUAAGAAGAAAGUAGAGCAUCCUUCUU